rnacentral:rRNA from 1 species
CUUGGAAACAGGUGCUAAUACCGGAAUAAGAAAGCAGAUCGCAUGAUCUAGCUUUUAAAAAGGCGGCGUAAGCUGUCGCUAUGGGAUCGGCCCGCGGUGCAUUAGCUAGUUGGUAAGGUAAAGGCUUACCAAGGCGAUGAUGCAUAGCCCGAGUUGAGAGACUGAUCGGGCCACAUUGGGGACUGAGACACGGGGCCCAAACUCCUACGGGGGGAGGGGGCAGCAGUAGGGGGAAUCUUCCACAAUGGACGCAAGUCUGAUGGAGCAACGCCGCGUGAGUGAAGAAGGUUUUCGGAUCGUAAAGCUCUGUUGUUGGUGAAGAAGGAUAGGAGGUAGUAACUGGUCCUUUAUUUGACGGUAAUACAACCAGAAAGUCACGGCUAACUACGUGCCAGCAGCCGCGGUAAU